AUUGAACGCUGGCGGCAUGCCUUACACAUGCAAGUCGAACGGCAGCACGGGAGCAAUCCUGGUGGCGAGUGGCGAACGGGUGAGUAAUGUAUCGGAACGUGCCCAGUCGUGGGGGAUAACGUAGCGAAAGCUACGCUAAUACCGCAUACGAUCUAUGAAUGAAAGCGGGGGACCGUAAGGCCUCGCGCGAUUGGACCGGCCGAUAUCAGAUUAGGUAGUUGGUGGGGUAAAGGCCUACCAAGCCGACGAUCUGUAGCUGGUCUGAGAGGACGACCAGCCACACUGGGACUGAGACACGGCCCAGACUCCUACGGGAGGCAGCAGUGGGGAAUUUUGGACAAUGGGCGCAAGCCUGAUCCAGCAAUGCCGCGUGCAGGAUGAAGGCCUUCGGGUUGUAAACUGCUUUUGUACGGAGCGAAAAGGCUCUCUCUAAUACAGGGGGCUCAUGACGGUACCGUAAGAAUAAGCACCGGCUAACUACGUGCCAGCAGCCGCGGUAACAC
rnacentral:rRNA from 1 species